GGCCUGGUCUGGUAUGGUCUAGUCUGGCCUGCUCAGGUCUGACCUGGUCUGGUCUGGUCUGACCUAGUCUGGCCUGGUCUGGUAUGGCCUAGUCUGGCCUGCUCAGGUCUGGUCUGGUCUGGUCUGGUCUGACCUAGUCUGGCCUGCUCAGGUCUGGUCUGGUCUGGUCAGGUCUGGUCUGGUCUGGUCAGGUCUGGCCUGCUCAGGUCUGGUCUGGCUUAGUAUUGUGUCUAUGCUGGUCUCUGGGCUGAUUGGAAACAGGCAUUGCAUUUGGAAAUCCAAUUAGAGAUGGAAAUUGCAGUGAACCCAAACCCAUAACUUUAUCACCAUGCAUCUCCAUGUUAUGCCCGUCACAUACCUGCAUGUGGACCGAGCACUGAAAAGCAGGGCCGUUCUUUUCUAGAAACCUUAAUUGAACUGUUUACUUUUUUGAAAGAGGACUAGUCUGUUACCAGGCACUGGUCUGUUCACCAUCCACUCUUUCACAACUGUGGUAUUGACAUGAAUCACAAAGAAAAAUGACCUUGGUAAUGGAAACCAUUUGUCUAUUUUGUUGGACAGGUUUCUACUGCGUGUCUCUCUAGCCUCUAUUUUCCUGUACAUCCCAGAAAACUGUUUCAACUUUGACCUCCCAGUCAGGCAGUACCCACUCACUCACGGUCGUGCUGUUUUCAUUGUCUCAUAACGUAAUUUCUUUCCUUUCUCCAAGUACCCAAAAUGCUUUAGAUUACAGAGGAUAAUCCCUCUGAUUUAUAGUGUCUAACCCUAAUAUUGUGGUCCAGACGUAGAAUUACAUUUAUUACCCCAAGUAAAAGAGAAGAGAUGAGAGUCUGCUGGCACAAUAUUGCGUCUCACCCAAGGUCAUAUUCAAACAUUGUCUGGCCUCCUUAUCAACAUCCCAGGGCUCGUAUCCACAUCUCAAAAUGUGUUUUAAGGUGAAUUCUAUAUUAGAUUUUUACAUUGGUCAGUUUCUAAAAAAUAUUUUAAAAAUUCUCCAAAUUCCACCCCUGCUGUAGGCUUACUAUAUGUUCCUCAAGGAGACUUGAAAUCCCUGGCCUUUUAAAAUAACGGAACACUAGUCACUUUAAUAAUGUUUACAUAUUUUGCAUUACUCAUCUCGUAUGUAUAUAUUCUAUCCUAUUCUACGUUAUCUUAGUCUAUGCGGGAGAAGAGGCAUUGCCUUCUUCACGACUGUGCUGGUGUGAGAGGACCAUGUUAAAUCCUCAGGGAUGUGGGAUACAGAGGAAUUUGAAGCAUUUUGUUGCAUUACAACCUGUCAUUUAAAUACAUUUCUAUUUGUAUUUCAUGUAAUGGACAGACACAAAAUAGUCCAAAUUGGUGAAGUGAAAGUGAAAAGUGAAAAAAAAUUACUUGGUUCAAAAAAGUAAAAAAUUUAAAACGGCAUAUGUAUCC
ensembl:lncRNA